AGUUGUUUGGGAUUGCAGCUCAAAAUGGGUGGUAAAUUCCAUCUAAGGCUAAAUAUUGGCGAGAGACCGAUAGCGAACAAGUACCGUGAGGGAAAGAUGAAAAGAACUUUGAAAAGAGAGUUAAACAGUACGUGAAAUUGUUGAUAGGGAAACGAUUGAAGUCAGUCAUGCCGGUGAGAAAUCAGCUCAUAGGCUACUGUGAGUGCACUUUUUCGCAAGGCAGGUUAACAUCGGUUUUUGUUGCGUUAUAAUAAUUGUAGGAAUGUAGCUCCUUCGGGAGUGUUAUAGCCUACUUUAGAUGACGUGACGGGGACUGAGGAUUGCAGCGGAUGCUUUGCUACGGAUCUUGUCUCUGUUGAUCUUCAAUUAGUCUUCAGCUUGCUGAGGCCUGGUUGAUAGGUUUACAAUAGGUUUGAUUUCCGUUAAAUUCGUUAAGGAUGUUGACGUA
rnacentral:rRNA from 1 species